AGGAAUGACCUGAUGGAGAUCUCCAAUUUGAACUCUUGCUCCACCUGUGGGUAGAAGGUUCUUAACUGCAAGUUUGUUAUUGCUACUGAUGUUAUUUGUCUUAGUGAGGAGGUGACAACUUAAAGAUAGGUCUCAUCUUCUGAACCCCCAGAAUUCUCCAUUUUUGGCUCCUCAAUAUCUAAUCUGCUACCUCCGCAAUGUUCUUCAGAGCUCCAAGGGCAUUCAACUGGUGUCUGCUUCAGCCCAAUGGGGACCGUUGGCUGCAUCAUUGCACACACAACUAACUACAUGGCAGCCAGCACUAUGGCUGGAAAAUAUGCAAGAAGACAGAUCACAGU